GGCCUCGUAGCUCAUUUGGUAGAGCGUGCACUGUAUAAAAGCGUAGGUGGCAUCCAUACCUGGGUUUAAAUCCCACCAAGGCUA
rnacentral:tRNA from 1 species